UACAGAGGGGGCAAGCGUUGUUCGGAAUUACUGGGCGUAAAGCGCGCGUAGGCGGUUUGUUAAGUUGGAUGUGAAAUCCCCGGGCUCAACCUGGGAACUGCAUUCAAAACUGACAAGCUAGAGUAUGGUAGAGGGUGGUGGAAUUUCCUGUGUAGCGGUGAAAUGCGUAGAUAUAGGAAGGAACACCAGUGGCGAAGGCGACCACCUGGACUGAUACUGACACUGAGGUGCGAAAGCGUGGGGAGCAAACAGG
rnacentral:rRNA from 1 species